rnacentral:tRNA from 1 species
GGGGGCAUAUCUCAGUGGUAGGGUGCAUGCUUAGCAUGUAUGAGGUGCUGGGUUCAAUCCCCAGUACCUCAU